GAUGAACGCUGGCGGCGUGCCUAAUACAUGCAAGUCGAGCGAACGGACGAGAAGCUUGCUUCUCUGAUGUUAGCGGCGGACGUGUGAGUAACACGUGGAUAACCUACCUAUAAGACUGGGAUAACUUCGGGAAACCGGAGCUAAUACCGGAUGAUAUUUUGAACCGCAUGGUUCAAAAGUGAAAGACGGUCUUGCUGUCACUUAUAGAUGGAUCCGCGCUGCAUUAGCUAGUUGGUAAGGUAACGGCUUACCAAGGCAACGAUGCAUAGCCGACCUGAGAGGGUGAUCGGCCACACUGGAAGUGAGACACGGUCCAGACGCCUACGGGAGGCAGCAGAAGGGAAUCGUCCGCAAUAGGCGAAAGCCUGACGGAGCAACGCCGCGUGAGUGAUGAAGGUCUUCGGAUCGUAAAACUCUGUUAUUAGGGAAGAACAUAUGUGUAAGUAACUGUGCACAUCUUGACGGUACCUAAUCAGAAAGCAACGGCUAACUACGUG
rnacentral:rRNA from 1 species